GAUGAACGCUGGCGGCGUGCCUAAUACAUGCAAGUCGAGCGAACGGACGAGAAGCUUGCUUUUCUGAUGUUAGCGGCGGACGGGUGAGUAACACGUGGAUAACCUACCUAUAAGACUGGGAUAACUUCGGGAAACCGGAGCUAAUACCGGAUAAUAUUUUGAACCGCAUGGUUCAAAAGUGAAAGACGGUCUUGCUGUCACUUAUAGAUGGAUCCGCGCUGCAUUAGCUAGUUGGUAAGGUAACGGCUUACCAAGGCAACGAUGCAUAGCCGACCUGAGAGAGUGAUAGGCCACACUGGAACGGAGACACGGUCCAGACUCCUACGGGAGGCAGCAGUAGGGAAUCUUCCGCAAUGGGCGAAAGCCUGACGGAGCAACGCCGCGUGAGUGAUGAAGGUCUUCGGAUCGUAAAACUCUGUUAUUAGGGAAGAACAUAUGUGUAAGUAACUGUGCACAUCUUGACGGUACCGAAUCAGAAAGCCACGGCUAACUACGUG
rnacentral:rRNA from 1 species